GACGAACGCUGGCGGCGUGCUUAACACAUGCAAGUCGAACGGAAAGGCUCUGCUUUUGUGGGGUGCUCGAGUGGCGAACGGGUGAGUAACACGUGAGUAACCUGCCCUUGACUUUGGGAUAACUUCAGGAAACCGGGGCUAAUACCGGAUAGGAGCUCCUGCUGCAUGGUGGGGGUUGGAAAGUUUCGGCGGUUGGGGAUGGACUCGAGGGUUAUCAGCUUGUUGGUGGGGUAGUGGCUUACCAAGGCUUUGACGGGUAGCCGGCCUGAGAGGGUGACCGGCCACAUUGGGACUGAGAGACGGCCCAGACGCCUACGGGAGGCAGCAGUGGGGAAUAUUGCACAAUGGGCGGAAGCCUGAUGCAGCAACGCCGCGUGCGGGAUGACGGCCUUCGGGUUGUAAACCGCUUUCGCCUGUGACGAAGCGUGAGUGACGGUAAUGGGUAAAGAAGCACCGGCUAACUACGUG
rnacentral:rRNA from 1 species